rnacentral:lncRNA from 1 species
AUGUAUUACCUUGGCAAAUACCUUCACAUCUGUUGGGAUUUCAACAUGAGUCAGAUCGAAUCAGGUUUGUAUUAUGAUGAGAAAAGUCACCCAAGUUGGAAUUAGCCCACUAGAACCCCACAACUCUGGAGCCUCAUAACCCAGAUAUAUCACUAUAGAUUUUUAAUUUCCACUAAAGGGAAUCUUAGCUUUAUGUUCAUGGUCUCAGACCUUUUGGGCCAUGUAUAUGAUACAGCUAGUUCAUCUAGGCCUCACUUUUCUGGGUUUCCCCUUGGGAAUUAGAUUCUGUUGUCAGUUCCCAGUAGACAUGUACAGAGCAUUGACAUCAGUGACCCAUCCCUGACCUAUUUGUACACUCUCCCAGAUAACCCCUCCAGUUAUCUGGACAAAAAGAUGUGGUCAUUCCCUAAACUUUCACUCAUGUGGUCUAUCAUACUUUUCUUCUUUAGGGUCUGAAAUGACUCUAGAUUGAUCCUUACAAAGCUAUAUCUAUAUUCUAAAGGGGUUUUUGGGUUUGUUUGUUUGUUUGUUUUGAAGACCAAUUCACGGAAACCAUUUUGUUUGAAUUCCCCAGUCUUUGAGAUCUUUAUCUCAAAAAAUAUUUUUCAGACCCAGUGGAUUGAAUGAACAUAAUAUUAUAAUUGGGUUCUGAGAUCCGUUCUUGAGUUUCAUACCUACUUCCUAUACCAGUAUGCUCCCCGUAAAACCCAAUCAGCUACCAGGUUCUGCAGUUCUGAGAAUGGAGAUGAGGAAUAAUGAUGGACUCAACAGUCUGCCAUGCAGAAUUCUGGAACUCACCAACAGACAGCAGAGCAUCGCACAUGUCUGUCAGUGAGGAUGCUGGAGACAUCUUUUCAUUGAUAACGAGAAGGAACGGCCUUAUAAGUAGGCUGCAGUGAUGGCAGCUUUGUAAUGUAGUCCUUUUUGUUUUCCCUUUUUAUUAAUCUGCCAAAGAUGGAAAUGGAUAUAAAAACUUUAAAAUCAGCUUUUGCAAGCCAGUUUUUUGAUUGUAAUAGUGUUUAAUCUUCCGGAAAGCUUUACAUAUUCCUCUGCAAUAAGUCAAGCCACUAUUUGUUUGCAUUAAGUUCUCCUCUUAUACUUACAAGCCCGCAAACGGUUCCUCUUGAUGAAGAUAUGGUAAUACCUACAAUGUUCUAAUGUAUUUUGGGUCCAAAACAGACAAAAGGGUGUGUGAGACAGGAGCAUGCCCAGCCCCUUUUUACAACAAGCAAGCCUGGGAUCUGGCUCACUAGAAUUUGCCAAGAAGACUUGUCUUAUGAAAUUCGAGGUAUAUUUUGUUAUGCUGUUUUAUUUCCUUUUUUUUUUUUAAAGAAAAGAAAACUGUGGAAAGUGAUAUGUUGAAUCAAGUGUAAGCUGAGUUUUCCAGACAACUGAAGUAGCUUCAUUGUGAAUGUUAUUUUGUUAUUAAAGGGUUUUUACUC